GAUGAACGCUGGCGGCGUGCUUAACACAUGCAAGUCGAACGGUGAAAGAGGGAGCUUGCUCCUUCUGGAUCAGUGGCGAACGGGUGAGUAACACGUGAGUAACCUGCCCUUGACUCUGGGAUAAGCGUUGGAAACGACGUCUAAUACCGGAUACGAGCUUCAGCCGCAUGGCUAGGAGCUGGAAAGAACUUCGGUCAAGGAUGGACUCGCGGCCUAUCAGCUUGUUGGUGAGGUAAUGGCUCACCAAGGCGACGACGGGUAGCCGGCCUGAGGGGGUGACGGGCCACACUGGGACUGGGACACGGCGCAGACUCCUACGGGAGGCAGCAGUGGGGAAUAUUGCACAAUGGGCGCAAGCCUGAUGCAGCAACGCCGCGUGCGGGAUGACGGCCUUCGGGUUGUAAACCGCUUUUGUCCAGGAAGAAGCCGCAAGGUGACGGUACUGGGAGAAAAAGGACCGGCUAACUACGUGCCAGCCGCCGCAGUAACAC
rnacentral:rRNA from 1 species